GGUGGUUCUCGGGUGAUGCACCACAGAAUCGAACUCCCUCCUCAAUGAUUCUGGAUACAUCACCUGAAAACCACA
rfam:Myotis lucifugus cont2.2566, whole genome shotgun sequence.